rnacentral:rRNA from 1 species
GUGUCAGCAGCCGCGGUAAUACGGGGGGGGCAAGCGUUGUUCGGAAUUACUGGGCGUAAAGGGCUCGUAGGCGGCCAACUCAGUCGGAUGUGAAAUCCCCAGGCUUAACCUGGGAACUGCAUCCGAUACUGGUUGGCUUGAAAUCGGGAGAGGGAUGCAGAAUUCCAGGUGUAGCGGUGAAAUGCGUAGAUAUCUGGAGGAAUACCGGUGGCGAAGGCGGCAUCCUGGACCGACAUUGACGCUGAGGAGCGAAAGCUAGGGGAGCAAACGGGAUUAGAUACCCCAGUAGUCC